rnacentral:rRNA from 1 species
UACGUAGGGUGCGAGCGUUGUCCGGAAUUAUUGGGCGUAAAGGGCUCGUAGGCGGUCUGUCGCGUCGGGAGUGAAAACUCAGGGCUUAACCCUGAGCCUGCUCCCGAUACGGGCAGACUAGAGUGAUGUAGGGGAGACUGGAAUUCCUGGUGUAGCGGUGAAAUGCGCAGAUAUCAGGAGGAACACCGAUGGCGAAGGCAGGUCUCUGGGCAUUAACUGACGCUGAGGAGCGAAAGCAUGGGGAGCGAACAGG